AGAGUUUGAUCAUGGCUCAGAUUGAACGCUGGCGGCAGGCCUAACACAUGCAAGUCGAACGGUAACAGGAAGCAGCUUGCUGCUUUGCUGACGAGUGGCGGACGGGUGAGUAAUGUCUGGGAAACUGCCUGAUGGAGGGGGAUAACUACUGGAAACGGUAGCUAAUACCGCAUAACGUCGCAAGACCAAAGAGGGGGACCUUAGGGCCUCUUGCCAUCGGAUGCCCAGAUGGGAUUAGCUAGUAGGUGGGGUAACGGCUCACCUAGGCGACGAUCCCUAGCUGGUCUGAGAGGAUGACCAGCCACACUGGAACUGAGACACGGUCCAGACUCCUACGGGAGGCAGCAGUGGGGAAUAUUGCACAAUGGGCGCAAGCCUGGUGCAGCCAUGCCGCGUGUAUGAAGAAGGCCUUCGGGUUGUAAAGACUUUUCAGCGGGGAGGAAGGGAGUAAAGUUAAUACCUUUGCUCAUUGACGUUACCCGCAGAAGAAGCACCGGCUAACUCCGUGCCAGCAGCCGCGGUAAUACGGAGGGUGCAAGCGUUAAUCGGAAUUACUGGGCGUAAAGCGCACGCAGGCGGUUUGUUAAGUCAGAUGUGAAAUCCCCGGGCUCAACCUGGGAACUGCAUCUGAUACUGGCAAGCUUGAGUCUCGUAGAGGGGGGUAGAAUUCCAGGUGUAGCGGUGAAAUGCGUAGAGAUCUGGAGGAAUACCGGUGGCGAAGGCGGCCCCCUGGACGAAGACUGACGCUCAGGUGCGAAAGCGUGGGGAGCAAACAGGAUUAGAUACCCUGAUAGUCCACG
rnacentral:rRNA from 1 species